UAGGGAAUCUUCCACAAUGGACGCAAGUCUGAUGGAGCAACGCCGCGUGAGUGAAGAAGGUUUUCGGAUCGUAAAGCUCUGUUGUUGGUGAAGAAGGAUAGAGGCAGUAACUGGUCUUUAUUUGACGGUAAUCAACCAGAAAGUCACGGCUAACUACGUGCCAGCAGCCGCGGUAAUACGUAGGUGGCAAGCGUUGUCCGGAUUUAUUGGGCGUAAAGCGAGCGCAGGAGGAAUGAUAAGUCUGAUGUGAAAGCCCACGGCUCAACCGUGGAACUGCAUCGGAAACUGUCAUUCUUGAGUGCAGAAGAGGAGAGUGGAAUUCCAUGUGUAGCGGUGGAAUGCGUAGAUAUAUGGAAGAACACCAGUGGCGAAGGCGGCUCUCUGGUCUGCAACUGACGCUGAGGCUCGAAAGCAUGGGUAGCGAACAGG
rnacentral:rRNA from 1 species